GCCCCACUAGCCCAAUUGGCAGAGGCAGAAGACUUAAAAUCUUUCCAGGUCAGGGUUCGAGUCCCUGGUGGGGCA
rnacentral:tRNA from 2 species